rnacentral:misc_RNA from 1 species
AAGUCGUAACAAGGUUUCCGUAGGUGAACCUGCGGAAGGAUCAUUAUAGAGAUUGGUUGGGUAACACCUUCCAAACCUCCCACCCUAUGUUUACAUUACCUUUGUUGCUUUGGUAGGCCCGUCUUUGGACCGCCGGCUUCGGCUGGCCAGUGCCUACCAGAGGAUCCAACUCUGAAUAUAUGUAGUCCGAGCACUUUAAAACAGUUAAAA